rnacentral:tRNA from 1 species
GCCUGGGUGGCUGAAUCGGUUAAGCGUCUGCCUUCAGCUCAGGGCAUGAUCCCAGAGUCCUGGGAUCGAAUCCCACAUCAGGCU